rnacentral:rRNA from 1 species
GCAUAUCAAUAAGCGGAGGAAAAGAAACUAACAAGGAUUCCCCUAGUAACGGCGAGUGAAGCGGGAAGAGCUCAAAUUUGUAAUCUGGCACUUUCAGUGUCCGAGUUGUAAUCUCGAGAAGUAUUUUCCGCGCCGGACCGCAUACAAGUCUGUUGGAAUACAGCGUCAUAGUGGUGAGAACCCCGUAACUGAUGCGGAUGCCCGGUGCUUUGUGAUAUACUUUCGAAGAGUCGAGUUGUUUGGGAAUGCAGCUCAAAUUGGGUGGUAAAUUCCAUCUAAAGCUAAAUAUUGGAGCAAGACCGAUAGCGAACAAGUACCGUGAGGGAAAGAUGAAAAGCACUUUGGAAAGAGAGUUAACAGUACGUGAAAUUGUUGGAAGGGAAACGCUUGAAGUCAGACUUGCUAUUCGGAGUUCAGCCGCAAGGUGUAUUCUUCGAUUUGCAGGCCAGCAUCAGUUUUUGGGGGUGGAAAAUCGUGGUUUGAAGGUAGCAGUUUCGGCUGUGUUAUAGCUUUCCACUGGAUUCGUCUUCGGGGACUGAGGAACGCAGUACGCUUUUUGCAAGGCUUUCGAGCUUUUC